GGCCUAAAAUCUGAUACUUGAAGUUGGUUGCUCUUCUUCGGUAGUAGAGUAAUAUAGGUUUUUUUUCCAAGCAUCUAGCAUCAUAGUCUUAGUAAAGAAAUAAUGAAUACCUUGGAAAACAUUUCUUGAACCAUAUCCUAAAAAUGAUGGAAAAACAUGGCUGAGAAACCAUCUAAUCUAGGGGCUUUUUUCACUUUGUAAACCCCAGACAACAUCCUCCACCUCUUCUAUGGUCACCAUUUUGAUUAAUUAGGCAUUUAGAUCCUCUAAAAUCACUGAUGAAAGAAUUGGAAUGUCUAACUCCUUGAUAUCUUGUUGAGCAGCCCAUCGAUCAUGAAAAUGUACAAACAACAUGUCAGUAAUUUCCUAUAAAUCAUGUACCUUUUGUCCUUACGCAUUAUGAAGCAUUGAAAUCUGGUUACCCCUCCUUCGAAUUACAGUGGAACAAUGAAAAAAAGAAGUGUUAGUAUCGCCUUCCUUCAACCAAGAGAUUCUAUAUUUUUGUUUCCA
rnacentral:lncRNA from 1 species